AAAGAAACCAACAGGGAUUGCCCUAGUAACGGCGAGUGAAGCGGCAACAGCUCAAAUUUGAAAUCUGGCGUAAGCCCGAGUUGUAAUUUGUAGAGGAUGCUUCUGGGUAGCGGCCGGUCUAAGUUCCUUGGAACAGGACGUCAUAGAGGGUGAGAAUCCCGUAUGUGACUGGCCCGCACCCUCCACGUAGCUCCUUCGACGAGUCGAGUUGUUUGGGAAUGCAGCUCUAAAUGGGAGGUAAAUUUCUUCUAAAGCUAAAUACUGGCCAGAGACCGAUAGCGCACAAGUAGAGUGAUCGAAAGAUGAAAAGCACUUUGGAAAGAGAGUUAAAAAGCACGUGAAAUUGUUGAAAGGGAAGCGCCCGCAACCAGACUUUACGGCGGUGUUCGGCUGGUCUUCUGACCGGUUUACUCACCGCCGUAAGGCCAUCAUCGUCUGGGACCGCUGGAUAAGACCUGAGGAAUGUAGCUCCCUUCGGGGUGUGUUAUAGCCUCUAGGUGAUGCAGCGCGUCUCGGGCGAGGUCCCCGCUCCGGCAAGGAUGAUGGCGUAAUGGUUGUCGGCGGCCCGUCUUGA
rnacentral:rRNA from 1 species